CCAGACUCCUACGGGAGGCAGCAGUGGGGAAUAUUGCACAAUGGGGGAAACCCUGAUGCAGCGACGCCGCGUGAGUGAAGAAGUAUUUCGGUAUGUAAAGCUCUAUCAGCAGGGAAGAAGAUGACGGUACCUGACCAAGAAGCACCGGCUGAAUACGUGCCAGCAGCCGCGGUAAUACGUAUGGUGCAAGCGUUAUCCGGAUUUACUGGGUGUAAAGGGAGCGCAGGCGGCACGGCAAGUCAGAUGUGAAAGCCCGGGGCUCAACCCCGGGACUGCAUUUGAAACUGCCGCGCUAGAGUGUCGGAGAGGCAAGUGGAAUUCCUAGUGUAGCGGUGAAAUGCGUAGAUAUUAGGAGGAACACCAGUGGCGAAGGCGGCUUGCUGAACGAUGACUGACGCUGAGGCUCGAAAGCGUGGGGAGCAAACAGGAUUAGAUACCCGUGUAA
rnacentral:rRNA from 1 species